rnacentral:rRNA from 1 species
AGAGAGAGACAUGCGCGCAUAUCAAUAAGCGGAGGAAAAGAAACUAACUAGGAUUCCCUCAGUAACGGCGAGUGAAGCGGGAAGAGCUCAAAUUUGAAAUCUUCAAGGUUCUACCUUGACGAAUUGUAGUUUAAAGAAGUGUUUUCUGUUGGAGUUUUGGUAAAAGUUCUUUGGAAUAGGACAUCAUAGAGGGUGAGAAUCCCGUAUUUGACCAUUAUUUCCAGCUUUGUGAUACACUUUCAAAGAGUCGGAUUGUUUGGGAAUGCAGUCCAAAAUGGGUGGUAAAUUUCAUCUAAAGCUAAAUAUUGGCGAGAGACCGAUAGCGAACAAGUACCGUGAGGGAAAGAUGAAAAGAACUUUGAAAAGAGAGUUAAACAGUACGUGAAAUUGUCAAAAGGGAAGGCGUUUGACACCAGUGUUGUUUUCUCGAAAAUCAAUUAAAAAAGGCAGGAUUUUGUGUUGUAUUGACUUUAUCAGCUUUCUGCACUCUUUUCUUGUCUUUUUUAAUGCACUUUUCGUUUAACAAGUCAACAUCAAUUUCUUUUGUUGUAAAAGGGUCAUUGGAAGGUGGCUUUCUUUUCGGAGAAAGUGUUUAUAGCCUUUGGCCUCUGCAAUCGGAGAGAUUGAGGUCUGCAGCGUAGAUCCUUCGGGGUUAGAUACAUUUGUGCUAAGUUAUAGCCUUUCAUAGACAACUUGUUGACUAUGAUCAGUCAUGUAGCUUACUCGCUUAUGCUAUUUUACCUACGCUUAGGAUGUUGAUGUGAUACUGCGAGCA